rnacentral:rRNA from 1 species
UGGGGAAUAUUGGACAAUGGGCGAAAGCCUGAUCCAGCCAUGCCGCGUGUGUGAAGAAGGUCUUCGGAUUGUAAAGCACUUUAAGUUGGGAGGAAGGGCAGUAAGCGAAUACCUUGCUGUUUUGACGUUACCGACAGAAUAAGCACCGGCUAACUCUGUGCCAGCAGCCGCGGUAAUACAGAGGGUGCAAGCGUUAAUCGGAAUUACUGGGCGUAAAGCGCGCGUAGGUGGUUCGUUAAGUUGAAUGUGAAAGCCCCGGGGUCAACCUGGGAACUGCGUCCAAGACUGGCGAGCUAGAGGAGGGCAGAGGGGGGUGGAAUUUCCUAUGUAGCGGUGAAAUGCGUAGAUAUAGGAAGGAACACCAGUGGCGAAGGCGACCACCUGGGCUCAUACUGACACUGAGGUGCGAAAGCGUGGGGAGCAAACAGG